AGGAACAGGCAGCACAAAGACAGCUGGCCCGGCCCCUGGUUGCAAGCCAUAGCCUACACCGUUUCUCUUUUCACCCCUGAGCCAUGAACCGAGGUCCUCCUAUACAAGAGAGAAACCAAGGAAACUCCCCAGAAUAUAUGGCUGAGAGAACCACAUUCCAAAUUGGAGCAGGAAGAUUGAGGACUCCCAGAGGAAUCUGAGAAGGAUGUCUUAACAGAAAAUAUAGCAAUAAAAAGUUAUUUGGCAGCAUUGAAAGAGGCAUUUUCAGAGCUGUUGCAGGAUAUGAGAAGUUCUAACUAGCUGUUCAAGAAAAAAAAUAAGCAACUGAG